UACGUAGGGGGCAAGCGUUGUCCGGAAUCAUUGGGCGUAAAGCGCGCGUAGGCGGCCAGGUAGGUCGGUUGUGAAAACUGGAGGCUCAACCUUCAGAGGUCGACCGAAACCAUCUGGCUAGAGUCCGGGAGAGGAGAGUGGAAUUCCUGGUGUAGCGGUGAAAUGCGCAGAUAUCAGGAAGAACACCCGUGGCGAAAGCGGCUCUCUGGAACGGUACUGACGCUGAGACGCGAAAGCGUGGGGAGCGAACAGG
rnacentral:rRNA from 1 species